rnacentral:tRNA from 58 species
UGGGGAAUAGUUCAAUGGUAGAACGACGGACUCUGACUCCGUUAAUCUUGGUUCGAAUCCAGGUUCCCCAGCCA